GCCGCCUUAGCUCAGUCGGUCAGAGCGACGCACUCGUAAUGCGUAGGUCCGGGGUUCGAUUCCCCGAGGCGGCUCCA
rnacentral:tRNA from 1 species